UACGGGGGGAGCAAGCGUUGUUCGGAUUUACUGGGCGUAAAGGGCGCGUAGGCGGUCAGCACAAGUCAGUUGUGAAAUCUCCGGGCUUAACUCGGAAAGGUCAACUGAUACUGUGCGACUAGAGUGCAGAAGGGGCAACUGGAAUUCUCGGUGUAGCGGUGAAAUGCGUAGAUAUCGAGAGGAACACCGGUGGCGAAGGCGGCUCUCUGGACCACUACUGACGCUGAGGCGCGAAAGCUAGGGGAGCAAACAGG
rnacentral:rRNA from 1 species